CAACUUCAAUCAUUAGUUUAUCAAAUUAUGGUUUCUUAAAGUGACACAAAUUGAGAGAAAAUUUAUGUAACCAAAACCUAAAAUCCUUAUUCGACAAAAUUGCUGAAUUGAUAUUUUGGACAGCACUCUCUCUGUGGGCGUUCACAAAAUCUUACAAAAAACUUUAAACCACUAGAAAUUCUUUAAACCACGGUCUACGCCAACUGAGAAAUUUCAAUCCCUGCACCCUAUAAAUUCAUCUACAUUAUCCCUUAAAUGUUCAUCUCACCAUAGAAUUUAAUUCAUUCCAUUUCCUUUUGAUUAAAAAAAUUAAGAAAUGAGUUAUUUCAGCAAAGUUUGCAUGGCUGCAACUGUGGCUGUGGUCGAAGGGCAAACUGAUCAAUGUGGUAAAUAUGGUUCCAGCUUAAGAACUCGUUGUGAUAAUCUUCGUCCGAGCUUUGUUGAUGGCGAUUAUAAAAAUUCCAGUAGACGUGAAGGAAGAGACCAUAAGCAAAAACAGGUUGAUGAAACACUUCAAAAGGUCAUGUAUAUGAAUUGUUGGACUCAGAGUUAAAGAUUACAGAAAUCGAGUUUUUUUCGCUUUAGAGAACAUGGAAAUAUUUCCGUAUCUUUAACAAUUUGUAGCUUAUCGGCCGACUAAGAUGUACGAAGUGAUUGAAGAUGGUUGCCCAAGUUGAGAUGACGGAGAGAUAAUGAUUUUAAUAUUUGGUCACUUUGGAAAUCUCUUCUUUAUGUUGAUUAACAUUCUCCGUUGUUCGGAGCUGCGAGUACUAAUAAUGAAGAGCAAAAAAUAGAUUCACAUAAUCGACUCUAAAUUUAUCUAAAAUAGAUGUUUUAACAUUUUGUUGUAUAUGAUUAUUGCCUGCUUUCCUAGUUUGAUUGACAACCCCAAUCUUGAGGGUCUCCAUCACUCCGUCCCUGGAGUAUCGUGAGGGAGGUAAAUCAUGAAAUGUGCCCCCACCAAAUCAGGGAACAAGAGCUUACCUGUACACUGGUGUCCACAAAGAGUCCAAUUCCAUAUUUCAGGAAUCGAACUCUCACACUGCAGCUACCAGCAAAACUAAGACUACCUCACUCUUAUCUUUUACACCACUGGGUUAUGUCCCGGAGGCUUUGAUUCACCCUAUUAGUUUUCAUUGUUGCAUGCCCAAAUAACAAUAUUCACCCUAUUAGUUUUCAUUGUUGCAUGCCCAAAUAACAAUACCCUAUUGGCAUAUUCUUUAUGAAAUUUUGCUACAAAUAGAAGUCACUAAGUAAUCCAUUUCAAAGAAAAACAUUUGCACCAAAGCAAAAGGAAGAUAAAUCAAAUCAAAGAUGUACAAGGCAAGUAACUAUAUAACCAUGUUCCUAAACAUGGGUUUCAUACUCACACUCAUUCUUGUUAUUGCUACGGUCGAAAGCCAAUUAAUACUUUAUUGUAAGUAUUGAAUAACUAUAUAAUCUAAAGACUUGAAGGAAAUUUGCGUUAAUGGUCUAUGAUUUAUUACGUACAGAAAGCAAGUUGGUAUUCACGUUUGAGUUACUUGCAUUAGUCUCAAUACAGAACUCGUCCAAAUUCGUAUCAAGUCAUAAUGUGCCCUCUCACUUAAAAAUUUUAAGUACCAUUUCGAGUCAAAAGUAAAAUCUAGCUUCAUAAAGUUUGACACGUGAAAGUAACAUGACAAUAUAAUAAAGAUUUGGAUGAUUUUUAUUGUUUACUGAUACUUGACUAAAAGAUCGAAG
rnacentral:lncRNA from 1 species